rnacentral:rRNA from 1 species
UACGGAAGGGGCUAGUGUUACUCGUCUUGACUGGGCGUAAAGGGUACGUAGACUGUUUAUUAAGUUCUAAGUUAAAUUAAUUUAUUUAAAGCUUUUAAAACUGAUAAACUAGAGUAAAAUUAAAGAUAAUGGAACUUUUAAUGUAGAGAUGAAAUGCGUAAAUAUUAGAGGGAAGAUCAAAGGCAAAGGCAAUUAUCUAUUUUUUACUGACGUUGAGGUACGAAGGCAUAGGUAUCGAACAGG